rnacentral:rRNA from 1 species
CUACGGGGGGCAGCAGUUAGGAAUCAUCUACAAUGCGCGUAAGCGUGAUAGUUUGAGCCAGAGUGUGUUUCAAUGAAAUGCUUUUGCUUAGUGUAAAAAGCUAGGCGAAUAAGGACUGGGUAAGACAGGUGCCAGCCGCCGCGGUAAUACCUGCGGUCCAAGUCGCAGCCAUAUUUAUUAGGUCUAAAACAUCCGUAGCUUGCUUAAUAAGUUUCUUGUGAAAUCUCACAUCUUAAGUGUGAGGCGUGCAAGAAGUACUGUUGAGCUAGAGACUGAAAGACGUAAGAAGUAUGUUCGAAGUAGUGGUAAAAUACGUUAAUCUCGGACAGACUCACAACAGCGAAGGCAUCUUACGAGGACAGUUCUGACAGUAAGGGAUGAAGGCUAGGGGCGCAAAACGGAUUAGAUACCCCCGUAGUC